GUAGAGUGCGAGCGUUAAUCGGAAUUAUUGGGCUAAAGCGUGCGCAGGCGGUUUUGUAAGACAGAUGUGAAAUCCCCCGGGCUCAACUGGGACCUCGCAUUUGUGGCUGCAAGGCUGGAGUACGGUAGAGGGGGAUGGAAUUCCGCGUGUAGCAGUGAAAUGCGUAGAUAUGCGUGUUAAACACCGAUGGCGAAGGCAAUGCCCCUGGACCUGUACUGACGCUCAUGCACGAAAGCGUGGGGAGCAAACAGGAUUAGAUACCCUGGUAGUCCACGCCCUAAACGAUGUCAACUGGUUGUUGGGGGUUUGACACUUCAGUAACGAAGCUAACGCGUGAAGUUGUCCGCCUGGGGAGUGCGGCCGCAAGGUUA
rnacentral:rRNA from 1 species